rnacentral:rRNA from 1 species
AGUGAACGCUGGCGGUAGGCCUAACACAUGCAAGUCGAACGGCAGCACAGUAAGAGCUUGCUCUUACGGGUGGCGAGUGGCGGACGGGUGAGGAAUACAUCGGAAUCUACUUUUUCGUGGGGGAUAACGUAGGGAAACUUACGCUAAUACCGCAUACGACCUACGGGUGAAAGCAGGGGAUCUUCGGACCUUGCGCGAUUGAAUGAGCCGAUGUCGGAUUAGCUAGUUGGCGGCGUGAAGGCCCACCAAGGCGACGAUCCGUAGCUGGUCUGAGAGGAUGAUCAGCCACACUGGAACUGAGACACGGUCCAGACUCCUACGGGAGGCAGCAGUGGGGAAUAUUGGACAAUGGGCGCAAGCCUGAUCCAGCCAUACCGCGUGGGUGAAGAAGGCCUUCGGGUUGUAAAGCCCUUUUGUUGGGAAAGAAAAGCAGCAGGUUAAUACCCCGCUGUUCUGACGGUACCCAAAGAAUAAGCACCGGCUAACUUCGUG